rnacentral:rRNA from 1 species
GACGAACGCUGGCGGCGUGCUUAACACAUGCAAGUCGAACGCUGAAGACCUGGCUUUUGUUGGGUUGGAUGAGUGGCGAACGGGUGAGUAACACGUGAGUAACCUGCCCUCUUCUUUGGGAUAACGCCCGGAAACGGGUGCUAAUACUGGAUAUUCACUGAUCUUCGCAUGGGGGUUGGUGGAAAGGUUUGUUCUGGUGGGGGAUGGGCUCGCGGCCUAUCAGCUUGUUGGUGGGGUGAUGGCCUACCAAGGCUUUGACGGGUAGCCGGCCUGAGAGGGUGACCGGUCACAUUGGGACUGAGAUACGGCCCAGACUCCUACGGGAGGCAGCAGUGGGGAAGAUUGCACAAUGGGCGAAAGCCUGAUGCAGCGACGCCGCGUGAGGGAUGGAGGCCUUCGGGUUGGAAACCUCUUUCGCUCAUGGUCAAGCCGCAACUGUGGGUUGUGGUGAGGGUAGUGGGUAAAGAAGCGCCGGCUAACUACGUG